rnacentral:rRNA from 1 species
AUGCGCCGGCCGCGCCGCCCCGCCGCCGGGCUCCGGCCGCUGCUGCUGCUGCUCCUGCCCGCCGCCGCGCUCCUCUACGCCGCCGCGCUCUCCCUCCGCUACCCCGGCCGCCCCCUCGGCCCCACCACCGUCUCCGUCGCCCUCACCGCCGCCGAGGCCACCGGCUCCGACGUCGCCCGUCCGCGGCUCCCCACCCCGGCGUCCCCGCGCAACAGGCGCCGCCUCGACGUCUCCCGGAUCGACGUGCGCGCGCUGGACGCCGGCACGCCGCUGCACGCGGCGGCCGCCCGCGCGUUCCGCGACGGCGCACGCCUCCUCCGCGACGCCCUCUCCGCCUCCUCAUCCUCCGCCGCGACGCCCUCCCCGUGCCCCGCGCCGCCGCGGUGCCCGACCUCCGUCGCGCGGCCCGCCGACACGCUCCGGGCCGCCGGCGCGCCCCGCGCCCUCGCCCUGCAAUGCGGGCUGGCGCUGGGGUCCCACGUCACGGUGGUGGCCCGGCCGCGGCGGGUGCCCGGCGAAGGCGGCCUGGCGCAGUUCGCGGUGGAGCUGCGGGGCGCGGGGGACGGGGACGCCGCCACCACCAUCCUCCACCUCAACCCGCGCCUCCGGGGCGACUGGAGCGGCCGCCCCGUCGUCGAGCUCAACACCCGCUUCCGCGGCCAGUGGGGCCCCGCGCUCCGCUGCGAGGGCUGGCGCCGCUCCGACGAGGACACCGUUGAUGGAUUGGUGACAUGUGAGCAAUGGACCUGGAACACUGGUGGUACACUUGAGGAGUUGAAGAGUAUGUUGCUGCGUAACCGUGUUGCUGGACAGAGCAGCAGGGGUUUGAUAGAUUGGCCUUAUCCUUUUGUGGAGGGUGAAUUAUUUGCUCUAACAAUAAGCUCCGGCUUGGAAGGUUAUCAUGUUCAAGUUGAUGGGAGGCAUGUCGCGUCUUUUCCUUAUCGUGUUGGCUUUGACCUCGAGGAUGUCGCUACGGUGCAAGCAAAUGGUGAUAUUGAGGUUGAAUCAAUGUUUGCCGGUACAUUACCUGCGGUCCAUCCUAACAUCUUGCAAAGAAAUCUGGAGUUGCUGUCCGAACUGAAAGCCCCUCCACCUGAAGAACCUGUGGAGCUGUUCAUAGGCAUCCUUUCAGCAGGAAGCCACUUCACCGAGCGCAUGGCUGUGAGGAGAUCAUGGAUGUCUGCAGUUCGAAAUUCAUCAAGUACCAUGGCUCGGUUUUUUGUCGCCUUGAAUGGAAGAAGGGAAGUUAAUGAAGAUUUGAAGAAAGAAGCGGAUUUCUUCGGGGACAUUAUCAUUGUGCCCUUUGUGGAUAGCUACGACCUGGUUGUUCUGAAGACUGUUGCCAUCUGCGAGUAUGCGGCUCGUGUUGUUGCUGCGAGGUAUGUCAUGAAGUGCGAUGAUGAUACCUUUGUUAGGCUUGAUUCAGUCAUGGCUGAAAUCAAGAAAAUCCCAGAAGAUAAAAGCUUCUACAUGGGGAACAUGAACUACUACCACAGACCACUCCGAGAAGGAAAAUGGGCCGUCUCAUACGAGGAGUGGCCCAGGGACACCUACCCGACGUACGCCGACGGCGCUGGCUACAUUGUUUCUUCCGACAUCGCCGGCUUCGUCGCGUCGGAGAUGGAGAAGGGCAGGCUGAAUCUGUUCAAGAUGGAGGACGUGAGCGUGGGCAUGUGGGUGGGGCAGCUCGACGCCGGCGGCGGCACCGGCGGCGUGGAGUACGUCCACGGCGCGGGGUUCUGCCAGGCGGGGUGCGCCGACGACUACCUGACGGCGCACUACCAGUCGCCGGGGCAGAUGCUGUGCCUCUGGGAGAAGCUGCGGCAGGGCAGGCCGCAGUGCUGCAACGCCGGAUGA